UACGUAGGGUGCAAGCGUUAAUCGGAAUUACUGGGCGUAAAGCGUGCGCAGGCGGUGAUGUAAGACAGUUGUGAAAUCCCCGGGCUCAACCUGGGAACUGCAUCUGUGACUGCAUCGCUGGAGUGCGGCAGAGGGGGAUGGAAUUCCGCGUGUAGCAGUGAAAUGCGUAGAUAUGCGGAGGAACACCGAUGGCGAAGGCAAUCCCCCUGGGCCUGCACUGACGCUCAUGCACGAAAGCUGGGGAGCAAA
rnacentral:rRNA from 1 species